rnacentral:misc_RNA from 1 species
GAUGAAGAACGCAGCGAAAUGCGAUAAGUAAUGUGAAUUGCAGAAUUCAGUGAAUCAUCGAAUCUUUGAACGCACAUUGCGCCCGCCAGUAUUCUGGCGGGCAUGCCUGUCCGAGCGUCAUUUCAACCCUCGAACCCCUCCGGGGGGUCGGCGUUGGGGAUCGGCCCUUUCACCGGGUGCCGGCCCCUAAAUACAGUGGCGGUCUCGCCGCAGCCUCUCAUGCGCAGUAGUUUGCACACUCGCACCGGGAGCGCGGCGCGUCCACGUCCGUAAAACACCCCAACUUCUGAAAUGUUGACCUCGGAUCAGGUAGGGAUACCCGCUGAACUUAAGCAUAUCAAUAAGCGGAGGA